rnacentral:rRNA from 1 species
GUAGGGAAUAUUGGACAAUGGGCGCAAGCCUGAUCCAGCCAUGCCGCGUGCAGGAAGAAGGCCUUCUGGGUCGUAAACUGCUUUUCCCCGGGGAUAAAACACUCGUGCGCGAGGGCUUGAAGGUACCGGGGGAAUAAGCCACGGCUAACUACGUGCCAGCAGCCGCGGUAAUACGUAGGUGGCAAGCGUUGUCCGGAUUUAUUGGGUUUAAAGGGUGCGUAGGCGGCCCUGUAAGUCAGCGGUGAAAUACGGCAGCUCAACUGUCGAGGUGCCGUUGAUACUGCGGGGCUUGAGUACCGAUGAGGCAGGCGGAAUUGACGGUGUAGCGGUGAAAUGCUUAGAUAUCGUCAAGAACACCGAUAGCGAAGGCAGCCUGCCAAGGGGUAACUGACGCUGAGGCACGAAAGUGCGGGGAUCAAAC